CUACUCCUACGGGACGCAGCAGUGGGGAAUAUUGGGCAAUGGGCGCAAGCCUGACCCAGCAACGCCGCGUGAAGGAAGAAGGCUUUCGGGUUGUAAACUUCUUUUAAGAGGGAAGAGCAGAAGACGGUACCUCUUGAAUAAGCCACGGCUAACUACGUGCCAGCAGCCGCGGUAAUACGUAGGUGGCAGGCGUUAUCCGGAUUUACUGGGUGUAAAGGGCGUGUAGGCGGGACUGCAAGUCAGAUGUGAAAACCAUGGGCUCAACCCAUGGCCUGCAUUUGAAACUGUAGUUCUUGAGUGUUGGG
rnacentral:rRNA from 1 species